rnacentral:piRNA from 1 species
UAGUGGUGUGUUGUCCAAAGCAUGUUCUAU